UAGGAAGAUGAUUCUUUCCCUGGGUGCAUGU
rnacentral:piRNA from 1 species